CUCCUUCUAAAGCUAAAUACGACCAUGAGACCGAUAGUAAACAAGUACCGUGUGGGAAAGUUGAAAAGCACUCUGAAUAGAGAGUCAAAUAGUACGUGAAACUGCCGAGGGUGUAAAGCCUGUUGAACUCGAUUAUCCGUAGUUCCUGGCAUCGUGGGUUUUGGCUGUCACGCAGAAGGGGGCCUUCUGUAUGCCUUGACCCUAGCCAGGAACGAGUGCGGACAUCGUGAUCCAUUACGCAAACCAAAUGCGAGCGGCGACUCCGGUUGCUGCGAGCAUAUCCAACAUCAGGUCCCAGAACAUGCGGUCGACCCUCUAGUAGUGGCGCUCAGCUUAAGGCCGGCGUCGCGAACGGGGGAUCGAGGCUCCGGUCUCGAGUUCGGCUAGUUCCGGUGUGCCGUUGGAUGCGUGAUGGGCAUUGAAGUGAACUAGAGAAGUGUGAAGCGCAUGUUUGGGCAUGUUCAAGGGCGAAAGCCUGAGCCGAGCACGACUCCCGAUCUACGAUGUACUAACUAAUCGAGGUACCUACGGGACCCGUCUU
rnacentral:rRNA from 1 species